rnacentral:lncRNA from 1 species
GGGAAAGCACAGCACAAACAAGUACCUCGGGGGGUGAAGAAAUGGAGAGGGUCUUAAGUUUAAUGACAAUAACAGAGACGGGUAUGAACACGGGGAGCACAACGACUACUACACGUGAGACGGAGAUGAACAUUCCAGAAACGGCGGAGAACACGGGGAGCACAACGAACAUUCCAGAAUCGGCGAUGAACACGGGGAGCACAACGAGCAUUCCAGAAUCGGCGAUGAACACGGGGAGCACAACGGAUGAGGGUGUAAAGAAGAAAAGUUGGCUGGAUGAAAUGGACUUGGAGGAGAUAUCGGACUCGGAUGAUGGGGAAAAAUUUGAAAGAAUGAGAGGAGGAUACAGGAAGAGGAAAGCAGCGGAGGGGGGGGAGAGAAAGGGUGGAAGAGGAAAGAAACUGGAUAAAAGGAUGAAUUGUUCAUCCUUUUUUAUUA